rnacentral:rRNA from 1 species
UACCAGCACCCCGAGUGGUCGGGACGAUUAUUGGGCCUAAAGCAUCCGUAGCCGGUUCUGCAAGUCCCCGUUAAAUCCAGCUGCUCAACAGAUGGGCCGCGGAGGAUACUACAGAGCUAGGAGGCAGGAGAGGCAAGCGGUACUCAGUGGGUAGGGGUAAAAUCCGUUGAUCCAUUGAAGACCACCAGUGGCGAAGGCGGCUUGCCAGAAUGCGCUCGACGGUGAGGGAUGAAAGCUGGGGGAGCAAACCGGG